UUUCCCUGUUGUUUGUGUUUUCAGAAAUGUCAAGCUCAGGGCAAUGCAGCAUUAGAAACAGAACAGAAAGGACCCAGCAACGCUACUGAAAUGACAGAAAACUCCUUGGCCUGGGCAUCUCUUUCAGAUUACCAACAGCUGAGUUACAACUUGAAUGUAAAUCUCUGCCAAGGUGGCCCACUGAAGAGCCGAAGCUUGAUGAAAGAUUCCUACACCCCUGAUGUAUUUCAGAAGGCAACCAUAGAUCCCAGGCAUUGGCAUGGAAGGACAAUUAAUGAGCUAGGGAGAUGGUUUGAGAAGUAUUUCCUAGCUGUUAACGUGCAGAAAGCAAUGAAGGAGAAAUAUGGGGGUAAAAAAAAAAGCCCUAGAAGAUGAAAGGUUGGAGAUUUGAGUGCAUUCAGCAACGAGUCUUUUUCCUCUGCCGACUAAUAAGCCUGCCUGUGAAACCUGAACCCAUCGUCUGCUAGCUGGCAACAGCAGAUUUGUUCCUGGUGCUUUCUCUCCUCUCUAUUAAAGCAUCUCUGGGAAGAGCACUGCAAGUCUGAAUAUGAGUACCAAAAAAAAUCACUUUGUUGGUCACUAGUACAGUGGGAAGGAAUAGGGUGUGAGGUACACACCCUUGCAGAAGGAUUGGUGGUGAGAGGAGCCCACACAGAAAUUCAUCUGCUCAGCAUUUAAGUUGGAGCAGGACCUGUGCAUGGUGUAAGAGGGCAGUGGUGGAAGAGGGGGGUGUGUGUGUGUGAAGAAACUCAUGUUUGCCAGAAGAUUCAUGACACUGACAGCUGCCCCAGUGCUCCAGAGAGUGCAGAGGAUGCAGUGGAAACCAACCAGGGUUGUCCCAGCAGCAGAAAGGUGCGAAAGCAAAUGGAAAUUCACCUGAGGAGGCAUCUGGCUGUUCAUGAAAGCUCAUACUAUUUGCAGGCCAAGCCAGGGAAAAACAAACAAACAAACAAACAAACAAACAAACAGCCUAUUCCACCUAAAGGCAACAGGAAAGCUGCAAGAAGCCUCAGGACUCCUCCAACGCACAAAUCACCCCACAAUGUUCAUGUACCCUUACUGAAGCUCUCACAAGCCCUACUUGCCCCUGACAGCCCUUUCCCUGACUCAGAGGUAAGUGACUCUCAGAGAGAAGCACGGGAAUCCAGCAUCCAGUCUGUACAACGUAAAGUUCGAGAGUGUAUCUGGACAGUAAGUAAGGACCACCCAAGCCUUGAAAGAUGCAGGAUAUGCAGAGUCUUUAGUGCUUCCUGAUGUGUUUUUCUCACCAAUUUAAUGGUCUUUAUUGCAGGACUCUGCCUUCCAGCUCCAAAGUGUAGCAAUUUGGUGCAGCAAUCACAAAGUACGUUUCUGGGAAUAGUGAUGCCCUGAUCUUCCCUAUCUGGUCCUAAGCUCUCACCAUUUUAGAAGAUUGAUGCUUUGCUCCAUGAUAUGAACUGUUUUGGGACAGAAUUAGGAUUGUUACUUCACCAUUGGCUGGUUAUUAGAUAACACUGUGCUGACUUUGUUCAAGUAGCGAAGGAGGUUAAAAUUUAGCUAAUAUGAUAAUCAAGUGAUAAUCAUUUUCCACCACCAAUAAUUAACCAUUUGGACUUAGGAUAUUUCCAGGCAGAUGUCCAAGUCUUUCAAAUUAAGGAGACCAGCCAAACUGCAGCUUGUAGAAACCUCUCUGUGGGUUUGCUUGGUACAUCAGUACUGAGUGGCUGCUGUCUGAGCACACACCACUCUCGCCUCUCCUGAACAGCACAGCUCUGUAGGAACAGACGGUUCUCUGUGUUACAUCCAGCACUGAUGGCCAAUAUAACUCCAGGUACAUAAUGAGGACUCUCUUCUGAGAACACAGCAGGUCCUAAUCCAGAAAACAUGGAGCUGAACAGACAUCUUCUGGUGUUGUUUGGCAUACUGGAAGCACACAGUUCAGGGCACAGUCAGCUAAUAGACAACACAUAGUGUGGGAUGGAUCCACACAUAAAUUUACAGAUCUGUUUCUACUAGACAUUAAAAAUGCCUAUUAGCCAUUAGAAAUAGACACUAGGACAAGCAGGCAGACUGCAGGAUUAUGGUUCAGCUGGAAACAAAUGCCCUUUUGCUAUUCAUGAAGGGCUCGUAAAGAGAGUAGAUUAGAAAAGAAAUGGACUAGAAGGUCCUGUUGGUGCACCACUGUGCACAAAAUGGGGUGCUUGCCUCUUGCAGUGAAGUCACUGUGUACACCUUUUACAAAUGAAAAUAUUUUAUAAGCACUUAAAUAGUAUAAAAUACUUGGUGUUGUAUAGUGCACUCAAAUGGGUGACAGCUGUUUGAUGACAAAUGAACAUACAUGUGUCGAUCCUCCUCUCUUCUUUGCUUUGCCAAGUGGUACAGCUCAGCCAGGGAUAAACACUUUCAGACAGGUGACACAUGAAAGCUGCAGAGAUAACUGAGAUUAUAGCUUUCAGUGAGGCAGCACAGCCACUGGGAACAAUCAAUACCUGAAGUCUUUGAGUGCUGAACAGACUAAUUUAGCCACAACCUUGGCAAGGAGCAUUUUCCUGUGUGGCACUCUGUGUUGUAGAGUGCUUUGGAUAUCCAAACAUGCGUAUGGAAAGCCAGCUUUGCAAUCUCCAGGUAUCAUGUCAUAUGCAGUUAGACAAGAACAGAGCUAAAAUAAGUACUCAUGCUCGCUGCAGCUGAAAUCUCCCUUCUAUCCAUUCUUUGGCCCUCAACAGUUCAUUCCUUCUUGCCUGUUUUGUGCUAGUGUUAGCACUUCCCUGUCCAAGCUCUGAACUGAGUCAAAUUGAUAAACCAGCAGAAAAUCAGUACAGAAGGGGAAAAAAAAAAAAACCACACAACAAAAAACAACAAAGCAAAAGUUAACAGGUUAACCAAUUAAAAUUUCUAAGCAAAGAUCCUUGUUGCAGACAAGGCAACGAGUGAUGGGAUGUGCAGAUGUUGGGAAAGAGGAGUAGAAAGAGAGUGGAGGUGGAAAUGGCCUUGCACUGCCUUAUUUUACACAGCAAGAAAUUCUUUUGCCUCCACUGUAUUCUCUCACAGGACUCGGUGCUUUGCAACACAGGUAGCCCGUAUUUAAGUGAUUUUACAAGGUCUGAUCAUUGGGUGGCAGCUCUGAGCCAUUGUUGUUAUCUGACAGGUCAGAAACUGGGGAAAAAAAGUGGGUUCUUCUCUGGUUUAGCUAAACCAUUCACUGAAAUUGCUGUUUAAGAACUGUUUGGGUCACCUCUAAACAGUCAAUCCACCUGAAGUAUAAUCAGACCACAAGGAUUUGAAGUAGAAGAAACCACUUGCAUCCCAGCUUCUGUAGCACUCUCCUCACAACUUUCUCUAGCAGUAAUGGCUACUUCCCAGUUCAGGUUUAUGCAUCUCUGCAGUUGAGGCACAGGUCAUUUUGCAGGAUAUCACCUUUAAUAAAGAUUUACUACUCUCCAAACAAUACUUCAUUUUUCUUUUCAUUUAACCCUCUGACCUCUUCCUAUCUCAUGCUAUCCUGAAUGAUUCCAACCUUUCGUAUUUCCACUGUGAAUGACUUUGAACGGCUCAUAUAAAGAGAUGGUAACAACUGUAAGAACAGAAGACAGACACUGCAAAAACUCUUAUUAGAGUCUUCAGCUGACUAUUCGAUUCAAUCCUUUGUGCUGUAAAGCUUGCACGGAAGUAAAAUUUAAGUUCAGAGCUACAUCUAUCCUGAGGUAAGCCCUGUAUUCCUAGAAGAAUGGAGUACUUACUGCUGAUCCUGCCUAUAAUGGGAUAAAAGAAAAAUCUAGCACUGCGUGAAGUGAUGAGAGAUCACAACAAAAAGGGAGCAGGUGAAUUGACUUCAGUGGAUUUCACUCUCAGGCACUGGGUUUAAAAUACAAUUGUGUCUUACAUUUGAAGGUAGUAAAAUCUCUUAUUCAUCAAGACAGAAUGGUGAUUUGAGGGUUAGGAAUUACCUGUGGUGUUCCACUUGAUAGUGGUCAAGGAGCCAAGGAGCAAGAAAAGUAUAAAACAAAACCAAAACUGAAAUGGUGUGUUCCUCAGGGUUCUCUUUGUGUUUUCCUUGAUGCAGACUCCUCUCUGACAGAGCCAAGGCUUCAUGGACUGAAGCUGGAAGAGCAGUGACCCAGUGUCAGGGGUGGGAUCACUGCACUUGGAAACAGUGCAAGAGGUUUAAGAACAACAACUCCUUACAGAUGGAGAACAGGCUCUCUCAGCUUUGGACAAAACAGGGAUGAGGGCUGCAUUGAAGAAUAUACAAGAAGGUUCUAUUGCUGAUUUUAGUGAACAGGCCUACCAAUUUUUAUGCUGACUUGCCAUUUUCCCCCUCUUAAUAAUAUUCCUUUUCUUUUAAACCCUUGGAUUCAUUGCUUCUGAGCAGAAAAACUGAUUAUCCAAGCUCAUUAUGUCCCCAAGUGAAACCAUUUUCUUUUCCUAUAACCCGAGAGCCUUGAACUGAAAUUGAUUAGCUAUUUUUAGAAAGAAGCUCUAGCUAAAUCUGACUUCUUCCCCUGCCAAUCACACCUAUCAGGGGAAUGAGAAACAAGCCUAUCUAAAUGCAGGUGCCUAGGAAUUAUGGCCUGUCCCUUUUACCAAAUACAUUAAUGUAACUAAAAAAGGGAUGGGAUUAUUUGAGAUCUUUCACCAUGUUGGACUAGAAGUUGGAGAGGAGAGGUAGCAUUUGUGGAAAGAAAAUGGGAUAAUAAUGGUGUUAUUUUUCGAAUUUUUGAUUUGGUUAUCUAAGAGCCCUGCAACUCCAGCAGGCUUUUCUGAAUCUCAAGGCUGGCUAUACUUUCUUUUUCCAACAGCUUUCUUUAGGGUUCUGAACACCCAUGCAUUGUCUUCCUUGCCACUGCUGGAUGAAAAAAAGCACAGGACUUGGCUGCUAUUAACAGCUCUCUAGCUGGCAGCUUUCUAAGGGGCCAACUGUACACAGACAGGAGAUGACCUGACGGGGUACACUGUCUUCCAGGAAGCCAGAAGGAACCUCUGGCCACAUCUCUUGUGCCUUCCUCAGAAGUUGCCAGCCUCAGACUUUUCUAUGUCACAGGAAGAGUGACAUGGAAACUGCCAACCACAAGUGUUCCAGUUCCAAGAUAUGAAAGCAAAAUUCAGCUUUUGAGAAAAAUCCAUGUUUUUCCUGUAAAUAAAACAGGAGCAGGGACCAUUCUCUGGCUGUCUGGUAAAUUGGCACAGACUGGCUGCAUCCACAGACUUGCUCUCCUUGGUCUCCCACAGAGCCUCUGUGGUCUAAAAUGCAGCUAAAGUUCUAUGUCUCUUUUAUUCACUUCAAAGUGCACAACACACUGUGUUACAGCUGUACUCCGAGUGAAAAAGGAUGUGCUUUGCACAGCCUGGGUGCAAAGUCUGCUGGAAUGCUGCUGAAGGACACUGGAUGCAGCCUAACCUGAUACAGCUGGGUCCAUGUUGCCCAGUGGGAAUGAUUUCUACCCUGUGCUAUCUCCCAAACGGUGCCAGGUUGUUAUCUUGGAGAGCACUGGUUGGCACACGCAAAACCAUGGCAGCAGGAGUGCUGACAACAAAGCAGUGCAAGCAGUUGCAAGGCAGUGUGUGAUACUACAUCUUGGCCCUGAUUUAUUUGGCACUAAUAACUGUGACUGCUAGCAUCAGCAUUUAUGAAGCUCACGAGUUUUCAGGGAUAUUUUGCAGUUAGUUUUGGAAAAUAAAGGGCCCUUGUCUCUUACAAACACUGAGUGUGAAACUAGACAAAGGGAGAAGACAACAAUUUCUGAGAAGCAACAAACAAACCCAUCUUUCCUUCACAUGACUUACAAAAGUACAAAUUAAAAAGACCUGACCCUGGCUCCUAAGAGCCAGAUAAUUAUCACAAGACCCAGGAGUCAGUUUAAUUUGUAUCAGCUUCCCCAGCUGCUUUGCAACCUAGGAUAUUUUCCCAAAGAGGAUGUUCUGGUCACCUUCCCACCCUGUCUUUGAAGACAUGACAUAAAUUUGAGGCAUUAUGGACUAUUUGGAGCUAUUUCUGAUCAGCCACACACUGGCUGGGACCAAUGCAGCUCUUUUUUGUUUACAUUCCACUUUUAAAGUCAGGCUUUGCUUCAAGGAGCAGAAAGUAUGUCAUUUCUAAAGGAUGAGGAGGUAAGGGAAUAUGUGUGUUUUCAUGAGAGGGAAGUUGUGUUCAGGCAAGGUGGGAGGAAUUCAGCCAGCAAGGUUUCCACUGCCUUUUAUUGAAACCUAUUUCCGAAGGAAAUGCAGAAGAAGAAAGGAAGCAGUUUUCUAUCCUCAGACUUCCAUCCAGGGAGGUCAAGGUCUGCAGCUGCAGUAACUCCCUACAAUUUCCAUAGAUGUUUGGAAGGUGUACACAGACCUAGGAGCUAAAUGGGUGAAAAUGCUUUAUCCCCCCCAUCACAAUGGGUGAUACCCAUGUUGAACCUGCUCUUACCCUAUGGCUAGUAAGGAAUUUUAGCAUUAGAUAUUAAAUACUAUAGUGUGAGAAUGUUUUAAAUACUUAAGACUAGAGACAAGACUUAGUGGUUCACCUUUAUCAUUCUGAAACAAGGAGAUAUUUAUCUCUGCCUGCACUGUCGGGUCAAAUUUGAAGUUGUAGUUCUCUUGAUCAUAUCCAUGGAUGUGACACACACAGGGUAUCAUGAAGUUCUGGCAGUCAGGGUGUUUUAGACCUUUGUGGGACCUUCAGAUCCAUUUCUUUGUUCAGAACCAUUUCUUUGCUCCUGGUUAAGCAGAAGGGAAAAAGGCAUGACUAUCUGAAUAGGAUGCUGCUACACAGCCCAAGUGUGUGGUUUCUGAAACCUUCCCACAUAUAUUCUGUUUCUAAAUCAAUAUUACAUUAUGCUGGCAUACUCCUGUAAUUCAUUAAGUGACAUGAAUAAAUUCCCUAAUAUCAAA